rnacentral:tRNA from 1 species
UAAGGAUUAGUUAAAAGCAUAAUAUUAGUCUGUCUAACUGAAGUUGCGGGGAACCGCAUCCUUAU